rnacentral:rRNA from 1 species
UACGAAGGGGGCUAGCGUUGUUCGGAAUUACUGGGCGUAAAGGGCACGUAGGCGGCCAUUCAAGUUAGGUGUGAAAGCCCUGGGCUCAACCUAGGAAUUGCACUUGAUACUGUUUGGCUUGAGUUCGGGAGAGGUGAGUGGAAUUCCCAGUGUAGAGGUGAAAUUCGUAGAUAUUGGGAAGAACACCAGUGGCGAAGGCGGCUCACUGGACCGACACUGACGCUGAGGCGCGAAAGCGUGGGGAGCAAACAGG